AUCUAAACAAUCACAGGGGCACAUGCGAAAUACUGGAUGAGAACAUUAUAUUCGAAAUACUUGUCAUUGUAGAGCGCUGUAUCCAUGGCCAGCUGGAUCCUGGAGCGAAGGGGAAUUCAAUGCCGCACGGGACAGAUUGCGUUUGUUGAGGUCGAAUUGCACUGCUGCAAUCGCGGGAAGUAGAAUACUUUGAGGUUUUCCUCUUCGAAGCCGUGUUUGAGAUUUACGAUGCUUCCAAUUCUCGACACAAUCGUGAGGACGACGCCAAACAAAAUGCAUGCCUGCAUUGGUUCAUACCACCAUGUCAAAAGCUUCCGAUCUAAAAAUGAUGAGAUUUUUACCCAGUUUAAAAGCCACUCAAGACCAAGGACUCUUGGCUUCUUGAUGCUUAGCCACAUUAUACACGGCGACUGCUGGGAACACGUCAGAGAGAAGAAAGGGAAGUUUUGAGUCACUGAUCCGUACGACAUACGUUGUUGGUCCAAGAGCGAGCCCACCGAAUAAUCCCAGAUGCCCUCCAAACGAAGGUAUGAUCACCGCAACCAACACGUAAAUCCUGGCAGCUCAAGCUUGUGGAAAUUCACCAAGAAGAACAACGCUCCCUUUCUUUUGGCAGUUUCUUUUGCUCCAGCCAGCAAGUGAGAGCAUCAUAAAUCGGCAAAGCAAAAACCUGGGAUGGAGCACGUAAGAACGAGGAACCAAUGGAAGAUUAGCUUACCUGGUAACUCCCUGUGAGAUGCAGCAUAAGCAUCAAGUUGGCUGUUCCUAUCAGCCACUUUGGUUUGUCUAGGACGUCCAGAACGUUUUCGUAGCAAGUCAAGUUGCCGAGAGCCCAGUAGCCAACUCCAGCGACUGGGAAAUAGCAAACGGCAACCAUGACAUAGGCCACCAAAACUCCAUUCCACAUUGGUAGCUUGGACGGCUUGUGCCUCGUCGAUCUCAUCGUCGCUUGGAUCUCGAGAGCAACGUUGUGGCCUCCGUAGGCAAACGCAAUCUCUCCGAGUGCAUUAGAGGCUCUGUAGUAUCUCCAGUUGCAGUAGCCAUACGAUACUUGCGAACUCUUAAGCCGUAUAGCUAUUGCCCAAAUUAUAGUCGAGUAGCUGAAUGAAAAGCGAGUUAGAUUUUCAUACAAAAAGGAAAAAGAUACCUGAAAGACAUGAUGGCGGCCACCAGAGAGACGAUUGUCAUGGACGACAAACUGGCAAACAACGACAGUACCGCCUGAACUCCAGCAAACGCGGAUAUCCAUGCCACAGCAAGCUCAAACUUCCCGUACUGAAUCUCGCGACUCAGAACAAGAUCCCCGAACCUCUUGAGCGCCUGGCCGCCAGUUACCAAGUAAGCAAUGUUGGCAGCCACCUGGACUACGAUCUGCUGCAAACCAACUAUGAACCCAAGCCUGUCCCCGAAUGCUUUUCUUCCGAGAUCCCGGUAAGUGUCGUAUCUCCCUUACUCAUCCUCGUGCAUCUCGAUCAAUUGGUACAUGGUAGCCAGUGUGAUUAUCCACGAAACGCCCAGCAUCAUCAUUCCAGGAGCCCUGUGGACACACAAAUUUAGUCUCUCCAUGACAUACAAUGGAAUACCAUCCUAGGUAGACCAUUGUCGACGGAAGGCUCAAAACUCCGGCUCCUACCAUAGCCGUCGCGAUGUGAACGGUUGAGUACCACCACUGUGUUCCGGUCGCAGUAUACGCCGUUGACAAUUCCGAAAGACGGAGUAGCUUGCAGCGUUACUCAUGCGAUCUUCGCGCUCAUGAGAUUCUGUACCACCCACCUGUUGAUCACGGGCUGAUAGAGAGGCCCUCAUUUGCUGGAAGAGCAGCUUCGAUGGCAGAGUUCCUAAUACACAGUUUGAUCUCGUCAAGACAAUGAACUUCUUUGGAAAAGACUAUAUUACUGAGCUCGUGGAAGGUUUGAUUAUUAUUAGUAUUUUUAAAUGAUAUUAAUUUUAGUUGAAUACUUAAGCACCUAAACAGUCAUAUUAUAUUUUUGAAUAGAAACUAGCUGGUUGAUUACAUUAAACGAUCAGUGAUAAAGUAAUCUGCAAUAACUAAAUAAAAGAUUGCUUUAGACAACAUAAUAAUAAUAAUUAUCUGUACAUUUAUGAUUACUAAAUAGCUAAGUAUAUAAAAAAAGUAGAGCUUUCCCUGCAUAUCAAGCGAAGUAAUUGAAUAAAAAAUUUCUUGUUUUAUAAGUAAAUUUAUGUUGUCUUUCUAAUUUAUUAUAAUAAUAAUCUACCAUAUAAGGUCUAUAAUUACGAUGUCAUAUAUUAUUAUUAUCAUAUUGGGAUUUUAGUAAUUAUUGAAUUGGUUCUUAAAAUACAAUAGUGUUGUUCUCGUGUUUAGAUUCACUAUUUAACAUCAUUCCAUAUUUAAUAAGCUUUUGUGAUUGUCCUGAACUCUUCAAUUAAUAUUUUUAUAGUAUAUAAUCAAUAAUAUGAUUGAAACUUUAUUUUUCAGCAAUUUUAAAAUUUUAUUUAUUUUUUAAUAUUAAUUACUUUACAAAAAACUUUUUAAAAUUAUUCAUUUACAUAAAUUAAAAUAAUUUAUUUAUAUUAUAUAAUAAAAAUAAAAAUAAAUAAAUUGAAAAUAAAGUAAGAAAUAAAAAUAAAUAAAUUUUGAGAAACAUGUGGUUAUAGUCUAGAAUUAAGCCAUAUUGUAAUAUUGUAUUUUAAUGAAUACACUUCUUAAAUUCUAAAUUUGAAGUUAAACAUUUAAAACAUAGACUACCAAAUUAUUUAUAUAUUUAGCUAGUUCUUACACUAAUUUCGUGCAAAUGGCUUGAGAAACGGAGUGUUGAGUGUGGAGUCCUCACUCAGCUCAAAAGUCUUGUAUCUCGCAAACAACUGCACCAGGUAGAACCUGGCGAUUGUCUCCACGAAAUUCUUCCCAGCACACUGCUUGUCAUCCGCGGUGGGUGACUUCGUAUUCCUUCCAUUGGACCAAAACACAUUCGCCUGGAGCUCCUCCUUCCCCACAAACCUGUCCGGGAUCAACUGAUCCGGCUCCUCAAACACCUUUGGAUCUCGGCAAACCAGUGCCUGCGACCCACCCAAGAGCUGUCCCUUCUUGAUCACAAACUUCGCAUCGUGUGACUCCACCACCAUAUCCUCCCGGGGGCGUCCGUACUGGUAGAGCACGGGCGGAUCAAACCGGAAGACCUCCAGCACAGUCGACUUGAGCAGCGGCAUUUUCUCCAGUGCGCCGUAGAACGACCCCGCCGGAUCGCCCACGUCGAUCGCAGCACGGAUCUCAUCCCCCAGCCUCUUCUGAAACUCGGCCCCGAGAGUUCCAACACGGUAGAGAAGAUUGGGCAGCACUCUGGCGCUGAAUCCAAACCAGCUGUUCAUCCCGACGAGGAAGAGCAGCUGGUGUACGGCCUCCUCUCGCGACAGCCCAAACUCCUUCUCGCCCAUGUCCAGCAUCUCGGCGGCGAGCUGGAAGAACUCGCAGAGCUUGUCGUAGUCGGCCUUGACGAGCAAGAAUGGCAGUGGCGCGGUACGUAUGACGACAUCCUCGGCGAAUCCGGGCAGUGGAGUGCUAUUGCCAGGCGCUACCGGCGCGAACUGGAUCCCGAUCCAACGGAGGAGGUGAGUCGGGCCCUGGUCAGCGAGCAUAGUAGUCAACGGAUCCACGUUGACGAUGGACUUGGCCAGGAACUGGAAGGCGAGCUGGUUGAGCAGCGGUGCCAUGUCGGCCUUGUUCUUCCCGGACGACAGCUCCGACUCGGCGGCAUCGAACGCGGCGUGGAAGGCCGACUGGAACUCGGGCAGGAACUUGCGGCCGUUUCGCUUGAGCACCUCGAAGGCGAAGUUCUUGAGCGUUGCGUGCUUGGGAUCGGUGGUGUCGAGGUAGGACAGCACCCGGUAUCCUCCCGUGAAAUCGUCGGAUGCCUUGUAGGAGCCCGUGAACACGUUGGUCUUGUCCACCUUGGAGCUGUCGAGCAGGACCGGGAAGGAGCUCUGGUCCAGGAGGGCGAUGCCGCGAGGAUCCGGGAAGGCUGGAUUUCCCGGGAUGAAGUUAACUUUGAAGACGGUGCUAUUGUACCUGGCCACCCUGCUCUUGAAAAACUCCACCUCGCCUUGGAGGUGGAGGAAGUCCAAGUUGUCCUUUUGAGCACCCACGACUGGCAGGCCGUAUGAUCCUGGGACUUCCUUCAUCGGGAGAUUGCUGGAGCCGGACGAAGCCAUUGUUGCUCGAUCGCUGGAGGGAGUAAGAGAGAUGCGAGGAACUUUGAAUUGGUGCUAAUCUCGAGUCGCUUUAAACCCCGUGGAGACGAUAGGUGUUGAUAUCAAUAUCGGAUGCUGUAGAUAUGUGUCAGCGAGUGAUAACACUGACGGACGCUACUUUGUUGCAUUUCGCCCACGUUAAGCACGCAAGUUGAAACUGUACUCGUAGCGGAGACUCUUCUAAAUCCAAACAGUCAGAGGGGCACAUGCAAAGUACUUGAUGAGAACAUUAUCGUCAGAAAACUUUUCAUUGUAGAGCGCUAGCUGGAGCCUGGAGCGAACAACCAAGCGACGGGAAUUCAAUGCCGCACGGGACAGCUUGCGUUUGUUGAGGUCGAGUUGCACUGCUGCAAUCGCGGGAAGUAGAAUACUUUGAGAUUUUGCUCUUCGA
rnacentral:lncRNA from 1 species